rnacentral:rRNA from 1 species
AGAGUUUGAUCAUGGCUCAGGACGAACGCUGGCGGCGUGCUUAACACAUGCAAGUCGAGCGGAAAGGCCUCUUCGGGGGUGCUCGAGCGGCGAACGGGUGAGUAACACGUGAGUAACCUGCCCUGGGCUUUGGGAUAACCCUCGGAAACGGGGGCUAAUACCGGAUAUUCACUUCCUGCGGCAUCGUGGGUGGUGGAAAGUUUUUCGGCUUGGGAUGGGCUCGCGGCCUAUCAGCUGGUUGGUGGGGUGAUGGCCUACCAAGGCGACGACGGGUAGCCGGCCUGAGAGGGCGACCGGCCACACUGGGACUGAGACACGGCCCAGACUCCUACGGGAGGCAGCAGUGGGGAAUAUUGCACAAUGGGCAGAAGCCUGAUGCAGCGACGCCGCGUGAGGGAUGACGGCCUUCGGGUUGUAAACCUCUUUCGACAGGGACGAAGCGUGAGUGACGGUACCUGUGGAAGAAGCGCCGGCCAACUACGUGCCAGCAGCCGCGGUAAGACGUAGGGCGCGAGCGUUGUCCGGAUUUAUUGGGCGUAAAGAGCUCGUAGGCGGCUCGUUGCGUCGGCUGUGAAAACCCGCAGCUCAACUGUGGGCUUGCAGCUGAUACGGGCGGGCUGGAGUUCGGUAGGGGAGACUGGAAUUCCUGGUGUAGCGGUGAAAUGCGCAGAUAUCAGGAGGAACACCGGUGGCGAAGGCGGGUCUCUGGGCCGAUACUGACGCUGAGGAGCGAAAGCGUGGGGAGCGAACAGGAUUAGAUACCCCCGUAGUCC